rnacentral:rRNA from 1 species
GCAUGUCUCAGUAUAAAUCUCAACAUGAUAAAACUGCGAAUGGCUCAUUAAAACAGUUAUAGUCUACAUGAUGUUUGCUUUUAUAUGGAUAACUGUGCUAAUUGUAGAGCUAAUACAUGCGUAAAUGUCCGACUUCUCGGAAGGACAGUAUUUAUUAGAUACAGAACCAAUCCGCUUGCGGACUUUGGAUGACUCAUAAUAAAUGAACGAAGCGUAUGGCUGUGCCGGCGCUGUAUCAUUCGAGUUUCUGACCUAUCAGGUUUCGACGGUGAGGUAUUGGCUCACCGUGCCAUUGACGGGUAACGGAGAAUUAGGGUUCGAUUCCGGAGAGGGAGCCCGAGAAACGGCUACCACAUCUAAGGAAGGCAGCAGGUGCGCAAAUUACCCAAUGGCGAUACGCUGAGGUAGUGACAAGAAAUAACGAUGCAAGCCCGCUGGGUCUUUGUAUUCGGAAUGAAUAGAAUUCAAAUCUCUUUAUGAAUGAAUAGGAGGG